rnacentral:rRNA from 1 species
GAUUAACGCUGGCGGCGUGCAUAACACAUGCAAGUCGAACGAUGAAACUUAACUGAUUUCUUCGGAAUGAUUUUAAGUGGAUUAGUGGCGGACGGGUGAGUAACGCGUGAGUAACCUGCCUUGGAGAAGGGGAUAGCCUUUGGAAACGAAGAAUAAUACCCUAUGAUAUGAUAAUAACUCAUGAUAUUAUCAUCAAAGAUUUAUCGCUCUAAGAUGGACUUGCGUCUGAUUAGUUAGUUGGUGAGGUAACAGCUCACCAAGGCAGCGAUCAGUAGCCGGCUUGAGAGAGUGUACGGCCACAUUGGGACUGAGACACGGCCCAGACUCCUACGGGAGGCAGCAGUGGGGAAUUUUGCACAAUGGGGGAAACCCUGAUGCAGCGACGCCGCGUGAUUUAGAAGGCCUUCGGGUUGUAAAAAUCUUUUGUAUGGGAAGAAAAUGACAGUACCAUACGAAUAAGGACCGGCUAAUUACGUG